CCCUACGGGACGCAGCAGUGAGGAAUAUUGGUCAAUGGGAGAGAUCCUGAACCAGCCAAGCCGCGUGAGGGAAGACGGCCCUAUGGGUUGUAAACCUCUUUUGUCGGAGAACAAAACCCGGGACGUGUCCCGGACUGCGUGUAUCCGAAGAAAAAGCAUCGGCUAACUCCGUGCCAGCAGCCGCGGUAAUACGGAGGAUGCGAGCGUUAUCCGGAUUUAUUGGGUUUAAAGGGUGCGUAGGCGGUCCGUUAAGUCAGCGGUAAAAUUGCGGGGCUCAACCCCGCUCCGCCGUUGAAACUGUGUCC
rnacentral:rRNA from 1 species